CAUUGCUCCACUUUCAAGGUGAAUUACAGAUUGAGGCUGUUUGGACCUAAGUCAGGAGGGUUUGGGAAAAAGAAAACAAAACAUCAUUUUGAUUCUACAGUUGCUUGGGAGUUGCUUGCAAACGUCAGCAGAGAAACUAAGGUAUAGACUCGGAGUAACCUCUUGCUCCGACCCCCCAUGACAAGACAGAUAGUUCCGUUCAUCUAUGGAGACAAGACUACCUUAGAACAUGGCUUCUUCCAAGAGCAUUUGGCAGUUUUCUUCCAAGCCUGAGGGGAGACUGAGAAGUGGUUUCUUCUUUUUCCUAAUGCAGCUCCAACCUGACUCCCUUCAUGAAGACCUGAUCCCUCCAUCAAGAAAUCCAAAAGCUUGUGGAGGACAAACAGGAACUUGUGGUAAGUACCGAAGUGGCAUGGUAGCAGCGGGAGCCUGGGAACAUGGCAAAAUUUAGCCAUUAAGGAUUUUUGGAUUAUGUGAUGUUUUUUAUUAUUCAUAUUUUUUUCUCUGCUGAUGAGUAAUUGAGAUGUCAGUGUGCUCAACUAAUAUUUGGGGAUUAAGGGAAGCACUGGUAUGAACGCAAAGGUAGGUCACAUGUAAUGUGUGCUCUCAAGGGUUAGGAAAGUCAGACAGACUUGUAAAUAACAUGAAUGGACUGUGCUAAGGGCUUAGCAGUGCACUAAAGGAUUCUGAGAGAGAGAGAGAGACACGAGAGAGAGCGCGUGCAAGCGAGUGAACGAGCACGCACACCUGGCUUGGAGAAUUGGAAAGGUCUCCUUGCAGGAGGUACCAUUGAGGUGAUUCAUCCUUGUUCCUCCAGGACUGGCCUGGUCUGUUUCACACUUCCAUAGCUUCUGGUGCUUUGCCAUGAUGGCAUGUCUCCCCAUUUAUUUUAUUAUUUGAAUAACAUCUGUACCUCUAGAUUGUAAGCUCUGUGAGGGUAGAGACAGUGUCCUUUUUUGCUUAAUAUGGUGUCCCCAGUGUCUGAGUGGUGCUAGUUUAGAAGGCAGUCAAAAAUAUCCAAUAAAUGUAUGAAUGAGUGGCCACUGAAGAGUAGGUAGAACUUGGGGCAUAGAAGGAGUCUUCCAGGUGGAGGGAACAGUUUGAAUAGCUGGCAUGCUUAAGUGGCCCCCUGUUAUUCCUUGGAGACUUUAUGAAUGUUAGAAAUAGCAAACUGCAUCCUAUCCUCUUACUGAAUGACCAGAGGGCCUUAUGGAGAGGAAUUGGGGCAGGUCCACAGAGUGUCUCUAACUUCUCCGUAAUAAAUUUAGGAAAGAUUUAUCACCCCUGGUUUUAUUUAAGCACUUCUUGAACCUAGUAGGUGCUCAUUAAAUAUUUGAAAAUGGAAUUAGAGCAUGGAUGGAUUUACUGAUGUUUUCUGUCCGACAAGCUUUUGAAAUAACAAGCUAUCAUUGCUUCCCCCACGCCCCCUCCUGCUUCUCACUUAAGCCAUGUCUUUAUGCUGUGAGAAAAAUGGUGCAAUAUGGGGAAAAAAAAGCAGGGCAUCUGGUUCACCAGAUAUGCAUAUGGCCACAACAUAUGGCAAACCCAGGGCAUUUGACCAUCGUGCUCAUUAGGAUGUGCCGGCAAACUGGAUGCCGCGUUCACUGUGUCUGUGUCAUUUUUCUCUCAGCAUGUCGACCUGGUGUCAAUCAUCAGGACACACUUGCCUUUCCUGAACAAAUCACCUCUUCCAGUUCUUUCACUUCUGAUUUCUUCUGAAACCCCCUCCUCUUUGCAUUGAUUUUCAGUUAGUUGGUGGACUUCAAACUCACAGAAUGGUCUUACUCUAGAGAUCCCACUAACAUCACCAACACACCACACUAACAAAAAGCGACAACAGAAGCGCAUGCAGGGCCUUAUAGGUGGUGAGAAGAAAAUGCAAGGUUCCUUCAUUUGCUUUAAGGCAUCAAGGAAAGUGGUCUAUUUUUCUCAGAAAGGCUGGGAUAAUUAACUUUGCACAGAAAAAAGAAAACCCAACCUAUUCUAUAUCUCCUCAUUUUCACUCAGGGACUUUCAACUUCAGGAAGAGGAAGGCCAGGGAGAGUGACCCCCACCCCCAUCCUGGGCAUACAGAGCAAAACAAAAGAACAAGCAAUUCAGAUGAUCCAGAGUGGGUCAGUCUUCAAAAGCCAGUGAGCGGCUCGAUUAUUUUGUGUGUUUUGUAGUUUUCCCCUCAACUGUCCUGGCUCCAGCUUUUCUGGGCCCGUCUUCACGUUUCUAUUCCCUUCUUUCUGAAGACCUCCACCUCCCAUUUCUCUAAGGAAUUUCCAUUUUUUUCAGUUCUCCUGGGUGAUUUUAGCACCAUUCAUUUAGUACAUUUGCAUAUUUCAUUUUUGUCCGGGUUGCUGCUCUCCUGUUGUAUUGCUAACAGUGAGAAAUGAGAUCAGAACUCACAUUAACCCUGAUGUCAUCCCCUUUGCUUUUCAUUCAUUGCUAUUCUUUGUUUAUCAUCUUUCAGCAGAUUUUCAAUCCAUAUGACAAUACUCCCAUCAAAAUCAAUUAGAACCAGUUUCAGAAAAUAGACUUACUGAUGCUCUCUGUCC